rnacentral:rRNA from 1 species
AACUUGCCCUUCGGGGUUAGAUCUUCCCUACCCUUUGUUUUAUUUAUACUUUGUUUGCUUUGGCGGGCCUGCCUCACGGCUGCCGGCAUAAGCUGGCUCGCGCCCGCCAGAGACCCCUAAACUCUGAAUAUUGUCGUCUGAGUAAUAUAUAAUAAGUUAAAACUUUCAACAACGGAUCUCUUGGUUCUGGCAUCGAUGAAGAACGCAGCGAAAUGCGAUAAGUAAUGUGAAUUGCAGAAUUCAGUGAAUCAUCGAAUCUUUGAACGCACAUUGCGCCCUCUGGUAUUCCGGGGGGCAUGCCUGUUCGAGCGUCAUUACAACCCUCAAGCUCUGCUUGGUAUUGGGCGCCACCACCUGGUGCGCCUCAAAACAGUGGCGGUGCCGUCUGGCUUCAAGCGUAGUAAUUCUUCUCGCUCCGGAGUCCAGGUGAGUGCUCGCCAGAACCCCCAAUUUAUCAAGGUUGACCUCGGAUCAGGUAGGGAUACCCGCUGAACUUAA